AGUUGCCAUCAUUAGUAGGUGGACACUGUAAGGAGACUGCCGGUGUCAAACCGGAGGAAGGUGGGGAUGACGUCAAGUCCUCAUGGCCCUUAUGACCAGGGCUACACACGUACUACAAUGGCCGGUACAAAGGGCAGCGACACAGCGAUGUGAAGCCAAUCCCGAAAAGCCGGUCUCAGUCCGGAUUGGAGUCUGCAACUCGACUCCAUGAAGUUGGAAUCGCUAGUAAUCGCGGAUCAGCACGCCGCGGUGAAUACGUUCCCGGGCCUU
rnacentral:rRNA from 1 species